rnacentral:lncRNA from 1 species
CUCUACCAGCUAUGCUAAAGAUAGAUGACCAAUGGAGUUGGCAGCCUCAGAGACAUCCUCCCAUUUCCCCUUUCUUUUCAUGAGCUACAUUAACUAUAUCUGCUACAAAAACCUGGGAUCUGACCCUGGACUAAUUUUCUUCUAGAGAGGGGAGUGUUUCCUAGGUCUCCAGUCCCCAGGGCCCCAACCCCUCGAACUGGUGCUCACGUAGGGGCAUCUGAGGAAUCUAGAGCUAUUAACUGGGGGAGGACAUCUCAGAUGUUUAUUACCAAAAUAAAAAGCUGACUAAUGUGCUCAGUGAGAUACAAAAGUUUUGAGAGCAGAGUAGCUAGGAUUAGGGGAUUGGAAAUGGAACAUUUCCAGCUGGCACCUGAGACAGGGACCAAAGACUUCAGCAAAAACUGCCAGGUGGCUAAAGAGCCAGGUGGGACAGCUCAGCUUCAGAUGCAGACAAGCCACCCCACCCCCGUGGAGAAGCUCCACAUCGCUGAGGUCCUUGCUCCCCAGGGCCUAGGGGCUUAUGCAACGCCUCCUGCACACUGCCACUUUGAGAAGAGAAGGAGGAAGGAAGACAUCCCGAGAAUGAACAAUCAGUCUUACCCCAAAGUUUGGCUUUGAGUUGACUGGCUAUGUAGCCUUCUCAGGAUCGGAUGAACAAAAUGGGGACAAUUUAGCUUUAAUUGGCAAGUAGAGUUUUUUUCUUUUGCCAUCGUCGGCAUAUGGACCAGAGGGCAAGAUGAGAGCCACUGUAGGAUUAUUGGAGCUAACAACUAUGAAUGGUUCCAGAUCCAAGUCUAUCUUUUCAUCGCUUGAAAGUCAAUACUUGAAGACGAGAGGAGGAAGGAAAUCAUGUAUUCAGAGGCUGGCACCUUCAGAAAAUGGAGUAGAUAGGGCUACCAUUUUGGUGAACUUGAGAAGAUAGGAGGACUUCUAUAGGGAGGGGAAAGAGCUGCAGGGAGACAACGAGGAAAGCUAAGGGCUGAGUGGGGUCUUUGCCAUCCAGGAUGUGUGUGUGUGUGUGUGUGUGUGUGUGUGUGUCCUUCAUCCAGAACAGCACAAUGGGCCUUGUUCUUAUAAUUCUGUAGACAAAUAUUACUUUUUUCUGCAAGUAAAGCAUCAUUUUACACUAUCUGGUAUAAUCUGAGAGUUGCUAGGUGUUCUGGGUUCUGUAAAUUUGGAAAAAAUUAUUUAGCAGUUAACAUCUUAAUCUUUUAGGUGCAGCUUUUUAUCGGAAUUUAGAAUACUGGACAAGGGGAGAGGGAGGAAUUCUACAAAGGACAACUUGCAAAAAGAGUGGCCGCUGUUACAUGAAGGGGAGAGAGAGAAUUAUGUGUUCCUACUAUAUAGUUUGAUGCACCAUGGUUUUGUAGCAAGGGGGAUAAUUUUCUCCUUACCUUUAAUCAUUCUUAACUGGAAAUCCUUGUAAAAAAGAAAUACUGCAAGAGAAAGAAAAGUGUAUCAACA